CCCAGACUCCUACGGGAGGCAGCAGUGGGGGAUAUUGCACAAUGGGGGAAACCCUGAUGCAGCGACGCUGCGUGGGCGAAGAAGUAUUUCGGUAUGUAAAGCCCUAUCAGCAGGGAAGAAGAAAUGACGGUACCUGAGUAAGAAGCACCGGCUAAAUACGUGCCAGCAGCCGCGGUAAUACGUAUGGUGCAAGCGUUAUCCGGAUUUACUGGGUGUAAAGGGAGCGUAGACGGCGAUGCAAGUCUGAAGUGAAAGGCGGGGGCCCAACCCCCGGACUGCUUUGGAAACUGUAUAGCUGGAGUGCAGGAGAGGUAAGUGGAAUUCCUAGUGUAGCGGUGAAAUGCGUAGAUAUUAGGAGGAACACCAGUGGCGAAGGCGGCUUACUGGACUGUAACUGACGUUGAGGCUCGAAAGCGUGGGGAGCAAACAGGAUUAGAUACCCCCGUAA
rnacentral:rRNA from 1 species